rnacentral:rRNA from 1 species
GACGAACGCUGGCGGCGUGCUUAACACAUGCAAGUCGAACGGAGUGGCGAACGGGUGAGUAACACGUGGGUGAUCUGCCUUGCACUUCGGGAUAAGCUUUGGAAACUGGGUCUAAUACCGGAUAGUGCAAGAUGAGCUCGCGGCCUAUCCCCUUGUUGGUGGGGUAAUGGCCUACCAAGGCGUCGAGGGGUAGCCGGCCUGGGAGGGUGUACGGCCACAUUGGGACUGAGAUACGGCCCAGACUCCUACGGGGGGCAGCAGGGGGGAAUAUGGCACAAUGGGCGGAAGCCUGAUGCAGCGACGCCGCGGGGGUGAUGAAGGCCUUCGGGUUGUAAACUCCUUUCGACAGUGACGCGGUACCUGUAGAAGAAGCACCGGCUAACUACGUGCCAGCAGCCGCGGUAAUUC